rnacentral:lncRNA from 1 species
AAGAACUAUUUCAAAAUGAGGAUUCCCUUGUAUCACUGGUGGUUUUAAAAACAUCAUUGUUGCAUAUGGAAUAUCAUUCCAUUAUAUGGAUGCAGGAAACCAUUAACUGCAUGGUCCAGCAUUGCUCAGGAGCAUCACUGAGCUGUCCAAUGCCAUGGACCCCAUGAACACCUUUACAUUCCAAUGCAGGUGUAUCAACAGCCAUCAACAUUGUUGAUCGUAAUUAGGGUUAUGACUGACUGAGAACUGUUGAGAAUUAGGCUGGUGCUUCUGGACUAGUUUUCUCCUGGAAACCUUAGAGCUACAGGCAUUUUGUUCAGGGAUGUACACAGAGUCUAGUCCAAAGAGUAUCAAGGCUUUGCAGCAUCUUCCCCGGGGCCCUGUCUCUUCCCACAGGCAGCACAUGCGUGGGGAGUCAAUUCGUUUUUGCAAUUAAGGAUAAGUGGGGAAAAGACCUCCUAGCUUAGUAAGGGGAAUCUUGGAUAACGGAUGAAGAUUGUGCUAACUGGACGUGACAACAUCCGUAUAAAAAGCAAGACAUUCAGUCAGCUAGAGAAUCAACCUCUUGUCU